AACGUGAAGAAUUCUUGAUCUAAUGGUUGAUAUUGAAGUUUCAUUAAGGAUAAAAUCGUAAUUUUGAUACAUUUGUCCCACAAUAGAUUAGUUUUGGUGGUUGUAGAUUUUUUUUUUGUCCUUUGUCCCAUAACAGAUCACGAUCCGGUUUUGGUUCAACACGCACACAGCCUAACUGAUUUAAUCACAUCGGGUUGAAGCUGAACUAGAGGAAAGGGAAAUUAUACUUUCUCGUUCUCUCUUGCUUUUUGGUCGUUUCAUGGAUAUUUUUUGGGUUGGCGGAUAAGAUCUUACUCAGGCGGCUAAUCUCUGGGAGAGUAAAGUUGAAAAGAAUAGAAAAGAGAAGCAUAGGAAUUGGAGUUUGGCUGUACAAGACAAAUCUCACCUUUGACCAGAAAUGGUGAACCACGCUAGUGUGAUCAGAAAAAAACAUAAAUUUACUCCAGAAAUACUUAGCCAUCCCCGCUAGUAUGACAAGAAGAAGUGUGUGUUUACCAAAAACAUGCGAUUAUUGUUCAUCAGCAAUGAGAGCCACUCAUUUGUUAGUUAAACAUAUGUUUUAUAUGCUGUUUAGUUACUUAGCUAGUUUCUUUGUUUCUUGUAUAUUAUAGAUGUUAGAACAUUUAAACUAAAUGGGUUUAAUGAAAAUUGUGAAAAGAAAUGGCCAAUGAGCCAGUGUAAUUUAAGCCUAAUGGCAUAAGUUAAUGAGGAACAUGAGAACUUAUCCUA